GGCGAACGGUGAUAAACAUGUGAGUAAUCUGCCUUGGAGAGGGGGAUAACCUGGCGAAAGCUGGGNUAAUACCCCAUGAAGUUUAGUUAUCUACGGGGUGAUAGAUGAAAGGAUGGCUUCUAUUUAUAAGCUAUCGCUUGAAGAGGAGCUCACAUCUAUCGCGCUUGUUGGUGAGGUAAAGGCUCACCAAGGCGACGACGGGUAGCCGGCCUGAGAGGGUGUCCGGCCACACUGGAACUGAGAUACGGUCCAGACUCCUACGGGAGGCAGCAGUGGGGAAUUUUUCGCAAUGGGCGCAAGCCUGACGAAGCAACGCCGCGUGGAGGAUGAAGGCCCUAGCGGUUGUAAACUCCUGUCUAGCGGGACGAAAGCAAACCCAGCGAACAGCUGGGUAUGUUGACUGUACCGCUGGAGGAAGCUCCGGCCAACUCCGUGCCAGCAGCCGCGGUAAUACGGAGGGAGCAAGCGUUACUCGGAAUUAUUGGGCGUAAAGGGCGCGUAGGCGAUUUGACAAGUCGGUUGUGAAAGCCCAGGGCCUAACCCUGGAAGUGCAACCGAGACUGUUGAAUUUGAGUAUAGGAGAGGAAGGCAGAAUUCCCGGUGUAGCGGUGAAAUGCGUAGAUAUCGGGAGGAAUACCAGUGGCGAAGGC
rnacentral:rRNA from 1 species